rnacentral:rRNA from 1 species
GAUGAACGCUGGCGGCGUGCCUAAUACAUGCAAGUCGAGCGAACAGACGAGGAGCUUGCUCCUUUGACGUUAGCGGCGGACGGGUGAGUAACACGUGGGUAACCUACCUAUAAGACUGGGAUAACUUCGGGAAACCGGAGCUAAUACCGGAUAAUAUUUCGAACCGCAUGGUUCGAUAGUGAAAGAUGGCUUUGCUAUCACUUAUAGAUGGACCUGCGCCGUAUUAGCUAGUUGGUAAGGUAACGGCUUACCAAGGCAACGAUACGUAGCCGACCUGAGAGGGUGAUCGGCCACACUGGAACUGAUACACGUUCCAGACCCCUACGGGAGGCAGCAGUAGGGAAUCUUCCGCAAUGGGCGAAAGCCUGACGGAGCAACGCCGCGUGAGUGAUGAAGGUCUUCGGAUCGUAAAACUCUGUUAUUAGGGAAGAACAAACGUGUAAGUAACUGUGCACGUCUUGACGGUACCUAAUCAGAAAGCCACGGCUAACUACGUG